GCCUGGGUGGCUCAGUCGGUUGAGCGUCCGACUUCAGCUCAGGUCACGAUCUCACGGUCCGUGAGUUCGAGCCCCGCGUCAGGCU
rfam:Felis catus isolate Cinnamon breed Abyssinian chromosome A1, whole genome shotgun sequence.